rnacentral:rRNA from 1 species
UACGGGGGGGGCAAGCGUUGUUCGGAAUUACUGGGCGUAAAGGGCUCGUAGGCGGCCAACUAAGUCAGACGUGAAAUCCCUCGGCUUAACCGGGGAACUGCGUCUGAUACUGGAUGGCUUGAGUUCGGGAGAGGGAUGCAGAAUUCCAGGUGUAGCGGUGAAAUGCGUAGAUAUCUGGAGGAAUACCGGUGGCGAAGGCGGCAUCCUGGACCGAGAUUGACACUGAUGAGCGAAAGCUAGGGGAGCAAACGGG